rnacentral:rRNA from 1 species
UACGAAGGGGGCUAGCGUUGUUCGGAUUUACUGGGCGUAGAGGGCGCGUAGGCGGAUUUUUAAGUCAGGGGUGAAAUCUCAAGGCUCAACCUUGGAACUGCCUUUGAUACUGGGAAUCUUGAGUCCGGAAGAGGUGAGUGGAACUGCGAGUGUAGAGGUGAAAUUCGUAGAUAUUCGCAAGAACACCAGUGGCGAAGGCGGCUCACUGGCCCGGAACUGACGCUGAGGCGCGAAAGCGUGGGGAGCAAACAGG